ACUUUUAUGUUUUUUAUAAAACUAAAAAUUAAACAAAACAUGUCAACACACAGGCUCAUAUCUAGUAUCUAAUAAAAAUGCUUUACAGAAAAAUUAUUAUAUGCGAGAUACUCAUUAAAUCCAUUAAUAUAGUAAUGGUAACAUAGUUUAAUUUAAAAAAAUAAUUUUAAUUGUUAUUAGGGAAACAUAUAUUUAGAUUUCUUAUCAAUAUGACAUUUAACUCCUUUUGAAACAUUUACGUUGAACUUUAUCUUAAACUCAUUGAUACUCUUAGAAUAUAUCCGCUUACAUGUUAAAAAUAUAGGUUGAAUCCCAUCAAUAGUACCAAAAAUAUUCACAAAAAUAACAAAGAAAAAACGAUCUUAAUAGCAUUCUUUAAACAAAACAAAAAAAAAACUAAAUUACUAUAAACCCUAAACCUAAUUUUACUC
rnacentral:lncRNA from 1 species